rnacentral:antisense_RNA from 1 species
GCUCCACGGUGGGGAUGCCCUCCAUGAUGCGGUAGUCGGCCAGGAACGGAGCCACCAUGUCGUCUGUGACGGGGAACUUGUCUGGGAUCCGCGUGCAGCGGCGAAUCAGGCCGGGGUUGACGCCGUUGAGGUACUGGUACCCAAAGAAGGUGUCCUCUGCCCAGUGCUCGGCCACGUACUCUGCGAGGACGGCGCGAGGGCGUCACAAGGCGGCCCGGCCCGCCUCGGGGACGGAGAGGCAUGGGACAGAAGAAGACCAUGGGCACCGAGAGGAAUCGGGGAGGAAAACGAAGCCCCCAGCCUCGCGCUGAGCGGCCGGAGGAGCCCGGGGCGACGUUUUCCAAGAAACCGCCAGAGGGCGCGCGCGCGCCUCGCUGCCUCUCCCUUCCCACUGCCCCGAAGUGGGGGGCCUGCCUAGCACGCAGGAGACCGCCUGGCUCCCCCUGCUCGAUCCGGGAGACCCAUUCCAUACCGGAGACGACAGAUUUCUUGCCAGGGAAAAUUUUGCUAAUGUCCUUCAGCCUCUUCCACGAAUGUUUGCAGUCCAACAGGCCGCGGACUUUGAAAGCCAGUGCCCUAGGAGAUGGAAUUCCAGGAAGAGACCUUCAGAGGGGCUGCCAAACGCCGGCUGGGGCGGGUGGCAGGGCCGCCCCAUCCACUUAGGUCUCUGGGUCCCAGGGUCUGUGCGUCGCAAAGUCUCUGGGUCCCAUGUCUCAAGAUUUUUGCAUCUCUAGGUCUCUGGGAUCAUGUCUCAGGUUUUCUGGGUCUGCGUUUCAGCUCCCUCUGCUUUCCUGGCCAUUCCAACCUCUGGGGCUGUCUUGGAGGCCGCCAGGGUUGGGGGAGAGGGACAGUCCUUGCAGGAGCCCUCGUUCUCCCGUCACUCACACGCACUCACAUGGGCCCCAGGCGGACGAAGAAGGAGGCCGUCUUGAGGAAGGAGUAGCGGAGAUUUAAGUUCAGGAACUUGGUGGCCUUAAAGUUGAUGAGAAUUGGGAAUCCCGGAAUAUAGCCGUUCCACCUGUGGGGAGAAGCGCAGGACAACUGGGAUCCAGGGGGCGGGGAGGAGGCAGGCGCCCAGGGGAAAACCAUGGGAGGGGCCCAGCACAGCUUCGGGUCCUUACUCAGGCCGGUUGGGGUUGCGAUGCCUCCGGACCCGAGGGCGGUAACUGGGAAUGUGCACAUAGCUGGGCAGGCCAGGAAGAAAGACUCGCCAGCUGCAAGGGAAACCGAGAUGUGACCCUCAUGCCCGUGCACCACCCCAGGGCAAAGGGCCAGAGCCAUCACUGUCCCCCACCUCCCUGGACCCCUGCCGGGCGCCCAGACUCUGCCACCCGCCCCCUCACUGGUAGAAGUCCUGCUUGGCUCUGAUCUCCUCUCUUCUGUGCUCCAGGAGGAUGGGGAGCGAGUCAUCUGCUGUUGUCUUUCCUGUAGGGAGACCAAGGAGGGGACUCAAGGGCUGACCCUUGCCCCUGCCCACCCCUGCCCACUUCAGGAAGCAGGGGUUCAGCUUCUGUGCCCCAGGUCGGCUCUGGGGGGGGCCAUGACCAAGAAGUGGGAAGGCUCACCUUGGGAGAGUGAAGGUGCGUCCUGUCCGGAAAUAUCAGAUAAAAGAAUCAUGGACCCACCCUCUUUCCUCUUGCUCUGCUGUCAAGCUGAGCUCUGCUGCUGCAAAAAGUCCCUCCUCUAGACCCACUGAAAUAUUUUUUAUUUCUAUAAAUUCAUGGAGUACAAGAGCAAUGUUGUUACAUGCAUAGUGGCCAAGUUAGGGCUUUAGGAUACCCAUCACCCAAAUAAAGUAUAUUGUACCCAUUAA